UACGUAGGGGGCAAGCGUUAUCCGGAUUUAUUGGGCGUAAAGAGCGCGCAGGCGGCCUUCAGCAGUGGCUCGUGGAAUGUCCUCGCUCAACGAGGAGGGGUCGAGCCAGACGGGAAGGCUUGGGGCAGGCAGAGGAUCGCGGAACGGGCGGAGUAGGGGUGAAAUCCGUAGAUACCGUCCGGAACACCAGUGGCGAAGGCGGCGGUCUAGGCCUGUAUCUCUCCCGCAAGGGAGAGCCCGACGCUCAGGCGCGAAAGCGUGGGGAGCGAACGGAAUUAGAUACUCCGGUAGUCCACGCCCUAAACGAUGCUCACUCGGUGUCGGGGGUAUCGACCCCCCCGGUGCCUCAGCUAACGCGGUAAGUGAGCCGCCUGGGGACUACGGCCGCAAGGCUAAA
rnacentral:rRNA from 1 species